CAGUAGCCGCGGUAAUACGAGGGGGGCAAGCGUUGUUCGGAAUUAUUGGGCGUAAAGGGCGCGUAGGCGGUUUGGCAAGUUUGGUGUGAAAUCUUCGGGCUCAACUCGAAGUCUGCAUCGAAAACUGCCGGGCUUGAGUAUGGGAGAGGUGAGUGGAAUUUCCGGUGUAGCGGUGAAAUGCGUAGAUAUCGGAAGGAACACCUGUGGCGAAAGCGGCUCACUGGACCAUAACUGACGCUGAUGCACGAAAGCUAGGGGAGCAAACAGGAUUAGAUACCCCCGUAGUCCCUGUCUCUUAUAC
rnacentral:rRNA from 1 species